rnacentral:tRNA from 2 species
GACUCGUUAGCUCAGUUGGUAGAGCAUCUCACUUUUAAUGAGGAGGCCGAUGGUUCGAAUCCAUCACGGGUCACCA